rnacentral:rRNA from 1 species
AUUGAACGCUGGCGGCAUGCCUUACACAUGCAAGUCGAACGGCAGCACGGGAGCAAUCCUGGUGGCGAGUGGCGAACGGGUGAGUAAUAUAUCGGAACGUGCCCAGUCGUGGGGGAUAACGUAGCGAAAGCUACGCUAAUACCGCAUACGAUCUGUGGAUGAAAGCGGGGGAUCGCAAGACCUCGCGCGAUUGGAGCGGCCGAUAUCAGAUUAGGUUGUUGGUGGGGUAAAAGCCCACCAAGCCGACGAUCUGUAGCUGGUCUGAGAGGACGACCAGCCACACUGGGACUGAGACACGGCCCAGACUCCUACGGGAGGCAGCAGUGGGGAAUUUUGGACAAUGGGCGCAAGCCUGAUCCAGCAAUGCCGCGUGCAGGAUGAAGGCCUCGGUUGUAACU